rnacentral:rRNA from 1 species
GAUGAACGCUGACAGAAUGCUUAACACAUGCAAGUCGAUGGGGAAGUGGUGCUUGCACCAUGGCAACCAUGGCGGACGGGUGAGUAACGCGUAAGGGACUUACCUGCAGGACUGGGAUAACAGGGGGAAACUCCUGACAAGACCGGAUAAUGUCAUGGAGCUGCAUGGCUUUAUGAUGAAAGGAGACGCCUGCGGAGAGCCUUGCGUCCUAUUAGCUAGUUGGUGAGGUAAUGGCUCACCAAGGCGAAGAUAGGUGGCCGGCCUGAGAGGGUGGACGGCCACAAGGGGACUGAGAUACGGCCCUUACUCCUACGGGAGGCAGCAGUGGGGAAUAUUGGACAAUGGGGGCAACCCUGAUCCAGCAAUUCUGUGUGCACGAAGAAGGUUUUCGGAUUGUAAAGUGCUUUCAGCAGGGAAGAAGUAAGUGACGGUACCUGCAGAAGAAGCGACGGCUAAAUACGUG